rnacentral:rRNA from 1 species
CCGACGCACCUUCGGGUGUUUAGGAGUGGCAGACGGGUGAGUAACGCGUGGGAACCUACCUUUAGGUACGGAAUAACGCAGGGAAACUUGUGCUAAUACCGUAUGAUCCCUUCGGGGCAAAGAUUUAUCGCCUAAAGAUGGGCCCGCGUUAGAUUAGCUAGUUGGUGAGGUAAUGGCUCACCAAGGCGACGAUCUAUAGCUGGUUUGAGAGGAUGAUCAGCCACACUGGAACUGAGACACGGUCCAGACUCCUACGGGAGGCAGCAGUGGGGAAUCUUGCACAAUGGGCGAAAGCCUGAUGCAGCCAUGCCGCGUGAGUGAAGAAGGCCUUAGGGUUGUAAAGCUCUUUCGCUAGGGAUGAUAAUGACAGUACCUAGUAAAGAAGUUCCGGCUAACUCCGUGCCAGCAGCCGCGGUAAUACGGAGGGAACUAGCGUUGUUCGGAAUUACUGGGCGUAAAGCGCGCGUAGGCGGACCAAUCAGUCAGAGGUGAAAUCCCGGGGCUUAACCUCGGAACUGCCUUUGAUACUGUUGGUCUAGAGUUCGAGAGAGGUAAGUGGAAUUCCCAGUGUAGAGGUGAAAUUCGUAGAUAUUGGGAAGAACACCAGUGGCGAAGGCGG